CUCUACCUUGGAUAGUUGAGGAUGGGGGCUUGGGUCUGGGCCUUGCACACGGCUGGAGGCCUGGCUGUCGUUCGAGUACGGCUUUUGCUAAGCGAGCCAAUUGCCUGCACUGAGGGGCAGGAGGGGUUUACGGCGCGGCACCGGAAGGGCGUUGUUAUCCUGGGGACUAGGAGUGGAAACUUUCCUCCCAGGAAAGGAAAAAACCCAGAGUGGACAAAGGACACCUCAUCGCUACUACCAUCACCACCUCAAAAGAAAAAAAUAAUUUUCUUGACAGGAUUAAGGUCACUCCCAGUCUAAACUGCACAACCUGCAUGAGAUUAAAAAUGGCCUCAAGCUCUGCUCUUUGCAACAACUCCCAUCAAAAAGUUGGGUCAAUUUCCCCACCUCUUCCAAGCUGGGCUUAUGACAUUUCUUAACCAAGAGAAUGCUCUGGAAAUGAGUUUCAAGCCUAACCAGCAGAGACAUUACAGCUUCCACGCACAUGCUGUUGGAGUGCUAAGGCCCAAGAUGAUAGACACCUGGAGAGACACCUGGCGGCCCAUGGAGCUGAUGUGAGGAACGUGAGGCCAUCUCAGACUGCCCAGCCAAUCCACAGAAUUGUGAAAAAUAAUGAAUCACUGUUCUUUGAAACUACCACCUUUGGGAUGAUUCAUUACACA